GACGAACGCUGGCGGCGUGCUUAACACAUGCAAGUCGAACGGAAAGGCCCUGCUUUUGUGGGGUGCUCGAGUGGCGAACGGGUGAGUAACACGUGAGUAACACGCCCUUGUCUUUGGGAUAACUCCAGGAAACUGGGGCUAAAACACGAUAGGAGCUCCUGCUGCGUGUGGGGGGUUGGAAAAUUUCGGCGGUGGGGGAUGGACUCGCGGGUUAUCCGCUUGUUAGGGGGGUAGUGGCUUACCAAGGCUUUGACGGGUAGCCGGCGUGAGAGGGUGACCGGCCACAAUGGGACUGAGAUAGGGCGCAGACGCCUACGGGAGGCAGCAGUGGGGAAUAUUGCACAAUGGGCGGAAGCCUGAUGCAGCAACGCCGCGUGCGGGAUGACGGCUUUCGGGUUGUAAACCGCUUUCGCCUGUGACGAAGCGGGAGUGACGGUAAUGGGUAAAGAAGCACCGGCUAACUACGUG
rnacentral:rRNA from 1 species